rnacentral:rRNA from 1 species
AACGAACGCUGGCGGCAUGCCUAACACAUGCAAGUCGAACGAGACCUUCGGGUCUAGUGGCGCACGGGUGCGUAACGCGUGGGAACCUGCCCUUAGGUUCGGAAUAACUCCCCGAAAGGGGUGCUAAUACCGGAUAAUGUCUUCGGACCAAAGAUUUAUCGCCUUUGGAUGGGCCCGCGUUGGAUUAGCUAGUUGGUAGGGUAAAAGCCUACCAAGGCGACGAUCCAUAGCUGGUCUGAGAGGAUGAGCAGCCACACUGGGACUGAGACACGGCCCAGACUACUACGGGAGGCAGGAAUGGGGGAUAUAGGACAAUGGGCGAAAGCAUGAUCCAGCAAUGCCGCGUGAGUGAUGAAGUCCUUAGGGUUGUAAAGCUCUUUUACCCGGGAUGAUAAUGACAGUACCGGGAGAAUAAGCUCCGGCUAACUCCGUG